ACCUUUAUUCUUAAAACAGAAGAAGCUUCCCUGUAAAAGCAGUAUCUUUAUAACAUUUUUAACUUUAGUAUUCCUCUCCCUUUCACCCUUUCCUUCCAUCAGAAUCCACAGCAACCUCCUCAUAAUCCUUCUCAGGCAGCCAUGUCCUCAGAAGCCUCAGAAGACUCUCCUUCCUCCAUUCCCUCACCCACAUACUGGUGAACAAAAAGGCAUGCUUGGUAUAUAUCAGGUCAAACUUGUGGUCCAAGGGAUCCCAGUCCUCAGCAAUGACUGUGGUGUUGGUCAGCAUGCACACAGCUCUCUGUACUUUGGCCGGGUCUCCACCAGGUACCACGGUGGGAGGCUGGUAAUUAAUGUCAACUUUGAAUCCAGUGGGCACAAGUCCACAAACUGGAUGGUGCGCUUGGUCUUGAUGGUGGCAUUGACAAUAGUGACAUCUUUGGGAACCACAUCAUCACAGUACAACAGGCAGCAAGCCAUGUAUUUACCAU
rnacentral:lncRNA from 1 species